UAUAUAUAUUUUUUAUAUCUUAGAUAUUGCCAUAUUGGCAAUGGAAAAGUGUAGAAUAGCUGUUGGAAUGUCGAAGCUGAGGAGUUACAUCAUGGCACGAAGACUAAAAUAAUUGCUAGUUUUGAGAGCAUUUUUUGCUUUGAACAAAGAAAAAGAAAACGCCCCGUCGUCGUCGUCAUCAUCAGCAUCAACGUGGGCACGUCAGGCAAAUUUCACAAAUGAGGAAAUGGCGAUCGAGUUGUGUUCCACCUUUGGCUAGAAAGUUGCUCUUUAGGCAGGCUGAAACUCAAACUGAAGCUGAAUCAGAUGCAGAUGCCAGAUUCCAUGGCGAGGCUUAAGGCUAAGGCAGGCGAGGAAUAGCGAACUCAAAGGUUGUCCAGGAUUUAAGGAGUUUGCAUAGCAAGCCAGGCUUGUUCUCUCUUAUACUUGGGCGUGAAAAGUUGAUACGCGAAUCGAUCGAUGGUUGAACUCGUGCCCUUUGCGGGUGAAUAUGGGCAAUUGCAAUAGCCGUUAAAUGCUGUUGGGCCCGAUUAGCCGAGUUUUAACUGAUCUGCGAUUGUGUCGCGGCCAACAAAGGGUUACUAUCUACUAUCGUUUCUAUCUGAAUGAUUGAUCGUGGAAUGAAUUAUAGGAACCUGUAUCGACUUCUCUGCUCUACUAAGACUUGUUCAAAAAUGGCGCACAAAUUACAUAUCUAUACGGCCUUCUAUCGUGUUCACCUAUUAUCAUCGUACCGAUAUCAAUACCGAUCAGAAACAGAAAUAUAUCACAGUACUCUGACAUCGAUCGAUAAAUAAUCGUAUCUGGAUUAGCAAGUGAACGAGCCGAUUGCUAGUUCGCUGUACACCAAAAAUCUCCGUCAAAUAUACUUUUUUUUCUUGUUAUAUAUUCUUUUUGUUGUAAACAUAAACUUAUUGAAAGUA
rnacentral:sRNA from 1 species